rnacentral:rRNA from 1 species
GAUGAACGCUGGCGGCGUGCCUAAUACAUGCCAGUCGAGCGAACAGACGAGGAGCUUGCUCCUUCGACGUUAGCGGCGGACGGGUGAGUAACACGUAGGUAACCUACCUAUAAGACUGGGAUAACUUCGGGAAACCGGAGCUAAUACCGGAUAAUAUUUCGAACCGCAUGGUUCGAUAGUGAAAGAUGGCUUUGCUAUCACUUAUAGAUGGACCUGCGCCGUAUUAGCUAGUUGGUAAGGUAACGGCUUACCAAGGCAACGAUACGUAGCCGACCUGAGAGGGUGAUCGGCCACACUGGAACUGAGACACGGUCCAGACUCCUACGGGAGGCAGCAGUAGGGAAUCUUCCGCAAUGGGCGAAAGCCUGACGGAGCAACGCCGCGUGAGUGGUGAAGGUCUUCGGAUCGUAAAACUCUGUUAUUAGGGAAGAACAAACGUGUAAGUAACUGUGCACGUCUCGACGGUACCUAAUCAGAAAGCCACGGCUAACUACGUG